rnacentral:rRNA from 1 species
GCUAAACGCGAAGAACCUUACCAGGUCUUGACAUCCCUCUGAAUGUCCUAGAGAUAGGGCAGGCCUUCGGGACAGAGGAGACAGGUGGUGCAUGGUUGUCGUCAGCUCGUGUCGUGAGAUGUUGGGUUAAGUCCCGCAACGAGCGCAACCCUUGAGCUUAGUUGCCAUCAUUUAGUUGGGCACUCUAAGCUGACUGCCGGUGACAAACCGGAGGAAGGUGGGGAUGACGUCAAAUCAUCAUGCCCCUUAUGACCUGGGCUACACACGUACUACAAUGGCCGGUACAACGGGAAGCGAAGCCGCGAGGUGGAGCCAAUCCUUAGAAGCCGGUCUCAGUUCGGAUUGCAGGCUGCAACUCGCCUGCAUGAAGUCGGAAUUGCUAGUAAUCGCGGAUCAGCAUGCCGCGGUGAAUACGUUCCCGGGUCUUGUACACACCG